CUCGGUUACCAAAUAGUAUUCUAACACAUUUCUUCUGAGUGAUAAAUAUUGGUUCAAGCCUGUUGUUACUAAGGCCACCCCAUACUGAUAUCCCAAAUCGCAAGUGUGAUUCAAAUAGUGUGUAGUACAGUUCUUUGUAGAGUUUUUCUGGAAUAAUGUGCCGUAUUCUACAAAUUUUCCCACUUUCACAUUUCAGCUUUGUGUUGAGCGACCGUAUAUGAGCAUCCCAUUUAAGCUGAUCAUCAAUAAUAACACCAAGAAACUUCACCUUUUUGACUUGCUUUAUUACUACAUUGUUUAGAGUCAAUUCUGCUAGAGUCCAAGUUUCUAUCAAAGAUUUGGAAGAUGGGUGAGUGGUGUGAUAUACGGUCAGUCAGUAUUCCAGAAGCUACUAUACUCUCUACGUCGUAACUACACUUGGGGAGACUGUCAAGGAUGUCAGAGAGUUCAGAUAGUGCAACAUUGACAUUACCACUUGGAGGACGGUACAUUACACCAACUGUUACUGGGGAAGUUGUACUACUUACGGCCACAAAAAGAGUUUCUAAAUGUUCAGUGAUAUGGGAUACAUUGCCGUUUACUCUGGCACUAAGAGUGUCACAAACAUAGAGAGCCACUCCAGUGCCCUUUUUUUUAUCUGGUAUUGUGUUUUGGUAGAAACUGUUGUAUCCAGUUAAUUGAUACAAACUGCUGGAUUCAGGACCUUCAUUUGUUUCCGCUAAGGCUAUGAUCGAGAAUUUCUUGGUGAGCCUAUGGGAUUCAAUAGCGAAAGUGUCGAAAUUUGACUUAUUGCCGUCGAUGUUUUGGAAGAGAAGCGAUGAAAAUUCAUUCAUUUGAUUAUCUAGUGCUUUGUUGAAUUCCUUGACAUUGUACGAUACGCAGUUAUUUAGUAUUUGAUCUACUUUUAUGAUAGUGUCAUCCACUUCACUACUUUCAAUAUCACUUAAAUUAGUGCAUGCAAGUCGAAAUGGAUUGUAACGAAUAACUGCUAAAUGUACGCACUUGGGACAGUAAAAAUCGUCAGAUAAUGUGUCAUUGUUAAUGGAUUUGGUAUAGCACUUAUGGUGCAUUGGGCAGUCGCAUUCACAGCAUUCAACAAUGAAUUGUCCUACGUUAAUGAACUUCGCACAGACUAGGCAUACCUCUUUACUCAGGGGAGUCAGAAUGGCUGGUAACCAUCCUGGUGUCGAGACUCAGCAGCAGUAGUAGAACCCGUCCCACUCAACACGUUCCGAUAUGAGCGUCCAUCAACCUCGUCUGUUCUCCUUUUCCUUCUAUCAACUCCUCCAUUCAUUCUAAGAAGCACUGUGUUACGAAUCAAAGUGCCUAGUUUAGCUGUACCCCUCCAGUUAAGGUGGAGAUAAUCUGGUCGCUGGUCUCGGCCGAUGUUUCUGGAGAACUGUUGGCUAAGAAGCCCAGCAUCAUCACAGAACCCACCGAACCCAUCAACGUAAGUCACACCAAAAUUUGAAGGGAUCAGCCAUGUCAGAAUAAGGCGGUUAAAGCAAACAACUUUUCUAUUCAGUUCAGCAAGCUUUGUAGGCAGGGCUGGACAAACAUAUACAUGUGCCUUAGGGUUAAUAGCAUGAAUUUUCUCAAUCUUUUUAAUAAAGGGAAUAAAUACAUUUCGUUUAA